rnacentral:rRNA from 1 species
UACAGAGACCCCGAGCAUUAUCCGGAUUUAUUGGGCGUAAAGAGUUCGUAGGUGGUUUCGUAAGUCAUUUGUUAAAUCUUCAGGCUCAACCUGGAGGCUGCAGGUGAUACUGCGAGGCUUGAGUAUGGGAGAGGUAAGCGGAAUGCCCGGUGUAGCGGUAAAAUGCGUUAAUAUCGGGUAGAACACCAAAGGCGAAAGCAGCUUACUGGAACAUUACUGACACUGAGGAACGAAAGCGUGGGUAGCGAAAGGG